GUAGCAGGUUUCCGUAGGUGACCUGCGGAAGGAUAUUGUCGAGGCCCGAACGGACGAUCGUGAACUCGUAAAGCACCUGUGGGGAGGGCAAGGGGGAGGUGAUCGCCGGCUUCCUUUACCUCCUUGGGUGCCCCCGGCCGCCGCCGCCUUGCACAGUGUGCAUGGCGAGCAGCGGGAACAACUUUCCGGCGCCGUGUGCGCCAAGGAGCAUACCCAUUCGGAGAGUGGAGCUUGCCGCACGCCUUGUGCUGCCGCACGCGACGCGAUCCUGGUAACGUCUAACCUGCACGACUCUCGGCAACGGAUAUCUUGGCUCUCGCAUCGAUGAAGAACGUAGCGAAAUGCGAUACUUGGUGUGAAUUGCAGAAUCCCGUGAACCAUCGAGUCUUUGAACGCAAGUUGCGCCCGAGGCUAUCUGGCCGAGGGCACGCCUGCCUGGGCGUCACGCCUACCGACGCUCCGUGCCUCUUGCACCAUCGCCUUGUGCGGUCGGCGACAGGCACGGAUGCGGAGAUUGGCCCCCCACGCAUCGCUGCGCGGCGGGUCGAAGUGCGGGCCGUCGACUGGGUUAGACGCGGCGAGUGGUGGAUCGACACGCACGACGCUGCUGCUUAGCUCGGGCGGUGCACCGGGGGAACCCAUGCCGGCGGGCGCUAUGUGAGCGUCCCUUGGAAUACGACCCCAGGUCAGGCGGGGACACCCGCUGAGUUUAAGCUUAUAA
rnacentral:rRNA from 1 species